UUAGCUAGGGGUGCCUUAUGGCUGAGAGAAUUAUCAACCCUUGAACCUGAUAUGGUUAAUACCAGCGUAGGAAAGCUACUUAA
rnacentral:ncRNA from 1 species